CCAAAGAACAGCUUGCUGCUACAGUGAUUGUUUUUUAUUAUUUUUAUUUAAUUAUUAUUUUCAGCCCAUGUUGCAGCUUCCUUAUGAUCGUUUUGUGUGUGUGUGUGUGUGUGUAUGCUUUGAACUGCAUUUUAAAUUUGCCCAGCUGGAGACAAGUCUCGAUUAGAGCUGGAACAAUAGCUCCAUUUUAUUAAUAAUGGGAAGGAUUUACGAUUCUACAGCACCUUCCUUGGAAGGCUUUCAAAACCAUUUGCAAACUCUCACAAAUGUAAGCUUUCACAGCCCUGCCUGUGAGGUGGGUAAGUAUUUCCACGGUGCCACCAAAAAUCAGGGAGAGCUGCAGUCGGUGUGUGCUCCAAUAACGGCAGAUCCGGUGGGUUUCAGGGCUGCAAAGCCGGGAGGAGGGAGGCUGGUAAAAGCUGUAACCUCAAUCUGUUUGGUGCUGUCUGUAGAUGCAGAUAUUUGUCUUUGUCUUGGGAACCAGGCUGCUAUUUCUCAGCCUGCUCUGUGCUCCUCCUUGCUUUUUGCAGAUUGAGGAUUCGGACUUGCCUGCUUGUCAGUAAACAUCUGCUUAUAGAUUAUUAUUAUUAUUAUUUUUUAAUUCAUUGCUUUUUUGUAGUCCCCAGGUGACCUCCUUUAGUGCUGGCUCCGCUGCGGUCUGACCACAGCUUUGCAUUAAGGCAGGCUGCGAGCACUAAUGUGUCUCCAUGCGAGUCCACGUGACAUUGCCCAGGGGACAGGGCCCACUGAGCUAAUGCAGAUGCUCCACUUCAAUUACACAACCCUGCAUCCCCUCCCUGACCCGAGUAGUGCAGGGGAAUGUUGCAAUGUUGUGGGUGAAAGCUGCCUUCUGCCCUAAUUUUUGUAUAUAUAUUUUUUUCCUCCCAGGGAAAUGCAGGAUUGUUUGUGUAACUCCCACUCUACAGCAGAUAGCUUCUCUGUGAGUAUUGUAAACAUGCAGCAAGCUGGGCAGUGGGGACUGGCCUUGCUGAGGAGGGUAAGGCACAGUGCUCUGGCUGUGUGUGUGCUGUACACCGCCACAGAAAGCCACAAUGUUUCUGUGGUUACUUCUGGAGGGCAUGAGUGGGUCCCAGGGCUUCCCCUUCCCACCCAGUACUGUUUUUCAAAAGAAAAGGCUGCUGCUUCUGGAAGAAGCUCUGCCUUGUGGCCUUAUUUUAAAAAAAAAUAAUAAUAAUUAAAAAAAAAAAGGCUGUGGAUUAGCCAUCUUCAUCAUUAAAUGAGGCUGCAUGUGCUGCUGUGUGUGAGAUGUUAACCAUUCGUUUAUUUGGGAGGUAAUGUGCUCGGGUCGCUGCUCCUGGAGCAGUGCCACCAGGCUCCAUCAGGCUGCUGCUGGCAGGUGCAAAAGCUGGAGGGCUGGCUGUUGGUCCCCUUCCAUCCCUAUUCCCUUUUCAGUAUCUCUGCACUGGAAGGUGUGGAAAGGAGGAGACCGAAACAACAGUGAGGAGGACAGGGGAGGUUCCAGUGCCAGAGAAGAAACCCUGUGCUUUUUUAUCCUUGCUCGUGGUAGCUUUUAUUCUAAGCACAACUGACUGUAUCUCGUGAGAAGACUUAGUCUGACCCUUUUGGAUGAUAAAAACAGUACUGGUUUUAACCGUUUAUUUUUAUCCCUUCCCUGUGGUCAUGUAGAGGAGCGAGCUGUGCAAUUAAAAUGAGAUAGCAAAGGACAGCUCCCUCCCCCUUUCCCGUUUCAAAAACCUUCCAGAGUUGUGUGUUCUUGAAGUGCUGCAUAGGCAGAAAAGCAUACAAUGCAGUUGUCAGCAUUGUGCUGAUGUGUGGCACAUUAAAAAAAAAAAAAAUACACACAAAAGGGGUGGGGAGAGCUGGUGCCUCCAGGGAGUAAAACUGUGGGGCCCCUUUCCCUACCAGCAAACGGACCUACACGCAAUAGUUUAUUACUUCUCAUUUUGCUCAGGCAAAUGUAAUGCACAGACGUCAGAGGGAGCGUUGCAACGUGCUAAAUGGUGUUGCUGAAGAUCAGGGUCCCCUUGAACUAUUUUUCCUGUGAGCUUGCUCCCACGAGAUGCCACAGCUUUAUUACUCAAUUCCUCAAAGUUGUGCUUACUUGCCAGAAGGAAGGAGUAUGCUUCCUUUCUGGGUGUAGUUUCUUUUGUUGUGUGGCAGAAGGUAAUCAAAAGCAGCUGGUUCUGAUCUCUCCUAGGUCACCAUGACUUCAAUGUGCACAGUCCAAGCAGUCACUUGUGAGCAAGGAGAGCAGGUAUUGGCACCUCCUCAUUAGCCUUCAUCAAUGAGAAUAUUGGCUAUGGUGUUGCGUGAGUGCCACUGGCUGACCAAUGGAGGGGCCCUGCCCUCCUAAGCUGGAGCAACACUUUCUGAGUGGUGAUUUCAUUGCCUGGUUGCUGCAGUGAUUUGGAGCACAGCUGUGACGUUAUGCUUUUUCUGGCAAAAAUUUAGCUGAGGGGUAAGUAUGAGAUGUCCAGGCCAGAUUUCAUAGUGUGAUGGAGAGCUGGGAGAAGCUGGUGCGUGGUGUAUGUGAAAACUGCCAAUUGCUUGUGUUCCUAAAAAGGCUCAUCUGUGUUUGAAUUAAACCAGCCUGGAUAGGACGUUCAUUUUAUCCUCUUGUUAGGGAUGUGUUUGGAGAUAUGCCUGGUGCUGAUUGGUGGCCUCUGCUGGCCUGCAGGUACAGGGGACCAACAAACUGUUUGGGAUGCCUUCAUGUUUUUCAGGCCACUGUACCCUGUGGGAAUUGUACUACUUUUCUGUGGCAGUUUGGGAUAACUGAGGGCUCCCUUGGGAGUGUUGGACUUCUACCGCCACACGCUUUGGAUUGAAGAGUUACCAGAACGACAUCUGUGAGGUUUCCAAGCUAAACAAAACCUGAAUUUCUGGUGCAAAAAGCAAGUGAAUGAUAGAAACCUCUGCUCCUCUUCCAGCGGGGGGACACUGCAGCCUUUUAAGCUUUCCUAUUAUGCCAAAGAGGUAAAAAAGCAUAAGCGUGCAUUGUGUUAUGCAGUGCUAUUGGUGAUAUAAAAUGAAAGCCAAAGCUAGCCAAGAAACUGUUCUCCUUUCAAAUACAUCUCCACGCACAAGUACUUUUCUUCUUUGCCUUUCCCUGAAGUGAGAGAGCAAUAAGGGCACAAGCGUGCGCUCAGUCUGCUUCAUUUAGAACACAGUGAAGUGACUUCGGUGCCAACAUGAUGAAUCAAAAGCAUUGAAGAUAGCUGGCUUGCUAUUUAUUUUGCUCUGGGCAUGACAAUCAGAUGUGAUUGGGGAUGUGAAGAAGAACAGCCUUCAACUCACGGAGUUGCACUGUUUUAAACCCUUGUCCUGUGACUUCUCCAGCGUGAUUUCUGUCAUUCCUGCUGGGCAUUGCACGUGGGCCUUUUCAUGGAGAGGUAACGCACUGCAGCUGUGUGUUAAACAUGGCAACAUACAGGAUACAGUGAUCUCUCCACUCCCAGGAGGUUUGUAUCCUUUGCAGUAGUCAAAUCAGGUGGGGCUGGGGGGCUUUUCUUUUUUUUCAUCUUAUUCCCCUGAAAUGUUCUGUUUCACAGCCUGGAAGACUGAAGCCCUCUGCCUAGAGGAUGAAAUGCUUCAUGUUUGGAAAAAAAAACUAGCAGGUACAGCACUUCAGGAUGUGAUUGCAGAGAUGUUUGGGGGCAAAAGGAACCAGGGCAGAAGCUGGCGCUGUAAUGUUCCUAUUUUUUUUUCCACAGUGGGUGAAAAAUUAGGUAUUAAUUCCAAAAAAUUCUACUAUGCAGUAAGCAAGACUCUCAUCCCCUGCGUUGUGUGGAUGAGAACAGCAUGGAGUCUGGCUGGGAGCAGUGCUUGAAAAGGAGUCAGAGAAUCCUGGUACAGCUGAUGCAGUGACUCAAAGGGACAGAGUUAACACAUCGUGAAGACUUGGAGCGCUACCCUGUAAAAGGCUUUGUCUGUGACAGCUCCUUUCCUGUGGAUGUCCUUCCAGCCAGGCUGCCCGCAGUGUGACAGCAGUGACCCUGUGUGAGGUUUCUUUGAAGGACCUGGGAGACUGCGUGGCUUUUUCUUGUCCCUCGGAGGUGCUUCCCUGGCAGGGAGGGAGGAAAAUGAUUGGCAGUGCUGUCACAGGAGGCAUGCUUACCUGGCUAGGGGAAAGCUUGGUGUGGAAAAGCCAGCUGGUGCAUGGUUUGGGGAAGGAGAGGUUCCUUUCUCUCCAGAAUGGAAUCCCUUAAGGAAGGUAUAGACAAGCAGUUCCUGCUCCUGGGGCUUCUGGCUGGUUAAAACAAAGAGCUGAGCCCAUUUCCAUGGAGAAAUGUAUGAUAGAGCACGUUGCAGUGCUUUUCCUUGCGUGUGCGUGGCUUGGUCACACGUUUAACUAAUAGAUGGUUUGCAUGCAAGAGGUUAUUGCUUUUUUAUACUUUUAAUCAGUCUAUCUCCAUUGGGCAGAGCAGCUUCACAGCCACCAGCACGGGGGAAACUGAGGCACGGGGCUACAGUGGGAUUACAGGCAGAGCCGGGGAUAAGGCUCAGGUUUGCCGAGGCUCAGACCGACGUGCGUCAGAGGGCUGAUUAAAUGGAGAGAUUUGCAAAGGGAAGUGACCUAUAGCUCCACGGCCGGGACGGUGUGCUGGACUCGAUCCUUAUGGGCACCUUCCAACUCAAAGGGCAGUUUGGUCAGGGGAAGGGCUGGGUAAGCACGGCGAGCACGGCCGACAGGGAGCGAGAUGUGGUGAGCUCCUUCCAUUGCCUUAGCCUGGAGCACAGCCAACCCGCGGGGCUCAUCCAGCACUGAACUUUGGAGUCGUUGCAGAUAAACAGCGCUAUAGGCUAAUAAAAGGCUCUGCCACGCAGGGCCCGGUCUGCCCGCACCGCAAUGACUUUGUUACGUGCUGACUGCAGUGAGGGACGGCGCUGGGUUUGCCUUCUCCUGGCCUUGGAUGGAGAGGAGCGGGCAGAACCUCGAGGCCUUUUGCCCCGCACCCAUUUCUGCACGGCAGCCCUUUACAUUUCACAGCGUGCUCCAUUUUUUUUCCUACUCCUAUUCCUUUUGUAGCAUAGCCCCCCUUUUUUGCAACAGUCCCCCUUUCUUCCUUCGUACCGUAUGUUUUAUUUGCUUAUUUCUUUAUGUGCAAUCCCUUAAUCCAUCACCUUGCAUUGCAGCCCCGCUUUUCGGCAUGCAUCCCUUGCUUUCCACAACCCACCUCGUGCAUUUAUUACUUUCCAUCGCAGCUCCCGUUUCUGGCUCGCACCUCCUCUUUUUUUUUUUUUUUUUUUUUGCCGUGCUUCCUUUAUCUAUGACUUCCCAUCCCAGCCCUGUUUGUAUCUGCCAUACAGUCCCUCCGUCACGUCGCGUUACACCGCGCUCUGCCCGCUCCGCUCCCGCAGCCCUCCACCGCUGCG
ensembl:lncRNA